rnacentral:rRNA from 1 species
UGAUCCUGGCUCAGGAUGAACGCUAGCGGCAGGCUUAAUACAUGCAAGUCGAGGGGCAGCAUGAAGUAGCAAUACUUUGAUGGCGACCGGCAAACGGGUGCGGAACACGUACACAACCUUCCUUUAAGUGGGGAAUAGCCCAGAGAAAUUUGGAUUAAUACCCCGUAACACAACGAAGUGGCAUCACUUUGUUGUUAUAGUUUCGGCGCUUAAUGAUGGGUGUGCGUAUGAUUAGAUAGUUGGCGAGGUAACGGCUCACCAAGUCUACGAUCAUUAGCUGAUGUGAGAGCAUGAUCAGCCACACGGGCACUGAGACACGGGCCCGACUCCUACGGGAGGCAGCAGUAAGGAAUAUUGGUCAAUGGACGCAAGUCUGAACCAGCCAUGCCGCGUGAAGGAUUAAGGUCCUCUGGAUUGUAAACUUCUUUUAUAUGGGACGAAAAAAGGUCUUUCUAGACCCCUUGACGGUACCAUAUGAAUAAGCACCGGCUAACUCCGUGCCAGCAGCCGCGGUAAUACGGAGGGUGCAAGCGUUAUCCGGAUUCACUGGGUUUAAAGGGUGCGUAGGCGGGUAGGUAAGUCAGUGGUGAAAUCCUGGAGCUCAACUCCAGAACUGCCAUUGAUACUAUCUAUCUUGAAUAUUGUGGAGGUAAGCGGAAUAUGUCAUGUAGCGGUGAAAUGCUUAGAUAUGACAUAGAACACCCAUUGCGAAGGCAGCUUACUACGCAUAUAUUGACGCUGAGGCACGAAAGCGUGGGGAUCAAACAGGAUUAGAUACCCUGGUAGUCCACGCCCUAAACUAUGGAUACUCGACAUAUGCGAUACACUGUAUGUGUCUGAGCGAAAGCAUCAAGUAUCCCACCUGGGAAGUACGUUAGCAAGAAUG